ACCAAUCACAGCGCGAUGUUCCCAUGACGUAAGAACAUUUGAACUCGACAAACAGCGCAAAUAAAGCAACGUUUCUGUUGAAGAAAUCGGCGCAGAAUGUCCGUUGUCUAAAUUGGCGACACAUUGGCCCAAAACAACAGAACUCCUGGUCAACGGAACUCUUUCACAACUACUCCAAACGGACUGUUUCAAGAUGAUUAACUUACCGAUGACACAAUAAAGUCUCCAUUUACAACCAAGGUAGCCAAGAUGCCGAAUGGCAGUGAAUGGCCGUCUAUCAAGGCGCAUCCAUCCAUGAUAAAAGUAAUCCACCACAUGACUCUGGCGGGG